rnacentral:rRNA from 1 species
CGCCUCUUGAUUUAUUAUAAGAGGUCCAGCCUGCCCAGUGACCAUGUUCAACGGCCGCGGUAUCCUAACCGUGCGAAGGUAGCGUAAUCACUUGUUCUUUAAAUGUGGACUAGUAUGAAUGGCAUCACGAAGGUUAUACUGUCUCCUUUUUCUAAUCAGUGAAACUAAUCUCCCCGUGAAGAAGCGCGGAUAAAAUUAUAAGACGAGAAGACCCUAUGGAGCUUUAAACAAUACAGCACUUACCUAAUAAUCUUAAAUGUCUCCGUGACACUAACUCUUUAAAGUAAGAUGACUGCAAGUUUUUGGUUGGGGUGACCACGGAGUAUAUCAUAACCUCCAUGUUGAAAGAAUUUUUCUAAGCCAAGAAUAACCAAUCUAAGCAUUAACAAAUUAACAUCUAUUGACCCAAUAAAUUUGAUCAACGAACCAAGUUACCCUAGGGAUAACAGCGCAAUCCACUUCAAGAGCCCCUAUCGACAAGUGGGUUUACGACCUCGAUGUUGGAUCAGGGUAUCCCAGUGGUGCAGCCGCUACUAAAGGUUCGUUUGUUCAACGAUUAAAACCCUA